CUGCAAAAGGCGAAUUAGAGAAGCGAUCUUUAGCGUGCCAAAAUGAGCUGCUUAAGCAAUUCUGGCUAUUUGGGAUAUGGACUAACUUGUGACAAAUAGUUUCCGAACAAGAGGAUAUUAAAAGUCUCUAUAUAUAAGCUUAAAACCAACCAACAAGAGGAUAUCCAGCAACGAAUAAAAAGAGUACGGAUCCAGCCACGUGCGUCCAGCCUUUAAUACCAGUUAGAUAAAAAUAAAUAAUUUUUUUUUCUCGUUUGGUGUUACGUUGUUCUUUGUAGUUAUACGAAAUCAAAAUAGAAUUAUCUCUUUUUUUUUGAAAACAUAGGUUUUAUUUCCCCUUACUUUCCGUUAUCCUUUUGCUUUCUGCGAUCGUUUUACAUAAUCAAUAAAGUUUUAAAAACAUCUUCCGAGGGAUUUCCGUUUUUUUUUUGUUUGUUCGCCAACCUCGUGUGUUUUGCCAACUAUCUUCUUUACAGUGUGUUCUGAAUCAUACAUGCUUCUCUUCUUCUUUGCGCAACAACACACACAGACCCCCACCACAACGCUUCUCGUGAAAUAGCUUUGCAGCACAAAAGUAAUAUUAGCGCAA